CGUAAACGAUGGAUACUAGGUGUAGGAGGUAUCAAUCCUUCUGUGCCGCAGUUAACACAUUAAGUAUCCCGCUGGGGAGUACGGUCGCAAGAUUAAAACUCAAAGGAAUUGACGGGGGCCCGCACAAGCAGCGGAGCAUGUGGUUUAAUUCGAAGCAACGCGAAGAACCUUACCUGGACUUGACAUCCCCUGCAUAACCUAGAGAUAGGGAAGCCCUUCGGGGCAGGGAGACAGGUGGUGCAUGGUUGUCGUCAGCUCGUGUCGUGAGAUGUUAGGUUAAGUCCUGCAACGAGCGCAACCCCUUUUAUUAGUUGCUACCAUUAAGUUGAGCACUCUAAUGAGACUGCCCGGGUAACCGGGAGGAAGGUGGGGAUGACGUCAAAUCAUCAUGCCCCUUAUGUCCAGGGCUACACACGUGCUACAAUGGUAGGUACAAAAAGAUGCAAUAUUGUGAGGUGGAGCAAAACUUUUAAAACCUAUCUCAGUUCGGAUUGUAGGCUGCAACUCGCCUACAUGAAGCUGGAGUUGCUAGUAAUCGCAAAUCAGAAUGUUGCGGUGAAUACGUUCCCGGGCCUUGUACACACCGCCCGUCACACCAUGAGAGCUGGUAACACCCGAAGUCCGUGAGGUAACCGUAAGGAGCCAGCGGCCGAAGGUGGGAUUAGUGAUUGGGGUGAAGUCGUAACAAGGUAACCA
rnacentral:rRNA from 1 species